rnacentral:rRNA from 1 species
UACGAAGGGGGCUAGCGUUGUUCGGAAUACUGGGCGUAAAGCGCGCGCAGGCGGUCUUCCAAGUCAGUGGUGAAAGCCCGGAGCUCAACUCCGGAAUUGCCAUUGAAACUGUUAGACUUGAGGAUGAGAGAGGUGAGUGGAAUUCCCAGUGUAGAGGUGAAAUUCGUAGAUAUUGGGAAGAACACCGGUGGCGAAGGCGGCUCACUGGCUCAUUACUGACGCUCAGGCGCGAUAGCGUGGGGAGUCAAACAGG